CUUUACUGUAGCUUGGAAUUGAGUUUGGGUUUAUUUUGCGCAGUAUAGGUGGGAGGCUAAGAUAGUAAGCUUGAGGGUUUAUUGGAGCCAAUAGUGAGAUACCACUCUAAGUAAACUAGAAUUCUAACCUUGAUAGUCGUUAACCGGCCGAGGAACAGUUUCAGGUGGGCAGUUUGACUGGGGCGGUCGCCUCCUAAAAGGUAACGGAGGCGUGCAAAGGUUCCCUCAGGCUGGUCGGAAAUCAGUCGUAGAGUGUAAAGGCAUAAGGGAGCUUGACUGCAAGACCUACAAGUCGAGCAGAGACGAAAGUCGGCCUUAGUG
rnacentral:rRNA from 1 species